CUGUUGCUAAAAAUCCUAACACUAGGCAUUCCUUGAUAUUUGUUAUUUCAUGUAAAUAGAAUUUGAAAAUCAUGAACCUAGUGACCUAGAAAUUGGACUGUGUCUAUGUUAAGUCAGAAACAGAAGAAUCUUUAUAAGCUGGUUCCUUCAUUGAUCAAUUUCCAAGCAAUACAAAGAAGACAAGUGAUUGCUGAAAGGAAGUGUGCAGUUAACACGAAGUUAAACGGAAACAUUCUGCUUCUUCCCUUUGAAGUACCCAACUUUAUGAUCAUGCUGUUGUUAUCAAGAACGUAUUUACUCUGAGUAAAAGUCUCUCUGAAUUUCUCUCUACCAUCAGGUACCGUAGGAAUUCAAAAGGAAAAUGACCAAGAACUUACUUUUCUUCUAUGUUAGUACCAUUCCUUUUUUAUUAACUCCUUUAUUGCUUUCACUACCUUCACCUUCACUUACUUCCUGACUUUUAACUUUGCUCCGUUAUUUUUUCGUCAUUAAAUUCACAGCAGUUAUACCCAGCUCCUUCUGUGGAAAUUAAAGGAAAGCAUUUCUUAAAUCCUUUCACUGUGCUUUCAAGAUUAAUUUGAUCCUUUGCCGUCUUUAAUUCUGCAACAAUGCAGUUACCAUUUAUUACCACUAGAUGGUACUUAAGGAUGAGUCUUAGUUAACUCUUCCCAGGACUUUAAGCUUCUUGCAAAUAAGUCAUGUGUAUCAGUUUUACGCUGCGAAUGGACUUCCAUAGAAAAGUUGGCUUGUUCAUUCCCUGUCAUUGUUAAGGCAGUCCUGGCUGUUAUGCCCUCUUACUGCUCUGUCCACCUGAGGCUAAAUCACCUGCAGUAGUGACUGUUUGCUUUUCAUGCUUAUUUUUUUUCUAAAUCAGUGAUAAAAAGUUCAUGUCACAUUAGUUUAUAAAGCUCAUUGCUCAUUUUUUAUACCCCAAAAAUGCUACACAGCAUUUCAUAAGAGUGGGAACUUUCAGUUCCUAAAUGAGCUCUAAUUUUGGAUGCCAGAAGUAUUAACUAAAGUAGUAUCAUUGUGUUUAGUUUUUUAGAGUUUUUUUUUUCCUUCACUGUGUUUUCUUAAUCCAAGAUGAAUUAUUUUGGGAAGAAUAGUGAACUAUGAGGUCAAGACAACAUUGGUCUUAGUUUUGCCACCAACUAACUCUGUAGCUCUAAACUUAACAGUUCAGUUCUCUGGGCCUUGAUUUCUAAUCUGUGAAACAAGGACUUCCACUAGAUGAUUGGAAUCCUCCCUUCUGGCUCUAAAAUGCUGCUCUACUGAAUAUCAGUAUGGUGGUUGAGUUGGAGUUGAAAAGGAUCAAUGAAACUUUGUGUAUGCUUUUAGAAAAGAGAAAUAUUCCUGGGGCUCUUAACUCAUUUAAUUUCAGUCUGUUCUCUAUGAAACAAGUCAUUAAACAGACCAUGAUUUUCCUUGCCUAAUAGCCAGGCACAUAAUUAUGACAAAGGUAAUUAGUGUGGUAGUCGUCGUAAGCCUCAGUAAUCCAUGAAACCAGUUCUGAAGGCCCAGAUCACUUCCCUCACCGUGCGCUGUAGACGUUACCCGGGUCACUUGCCUCACCGUGCACUGUAGACGUUAGACAGAUCACUUCCCUCACCGUGCACUGUAGACAUUACCCGGGUCACUUCCCUCCCCGUGCACUGUAGACGUUACCCGGGUCACUUCCCUCACCGUGCACUGUAGACGUUACCCGGGUCACUUCCCUCACCGUGCACUGUAGACGUUAGACAGGUCACUCCCCUCAGUGUGCACUGUAGACGUUAGACAGGUCACUUCCCUCACCGUGCACUGUAGACGUUAGACAGGUCACUUCCCACACCGUGCACUGUAGACGUUAGACAGGUCACUUCUCUCACUGUGCGCUGUAGACGUUAGACAGGUCACUUCCCUCAAUGUGCACUGUAGACGUUAGACAGGUCACUUCCCUCACCGUGCACUGUAGACGUUAGACAGGUCACUCCCCUCAAUGUGCACUGUAGACGUUACCCGGGUCACUUCCCUGACCGUGCACUGUAGACGUUAGACAGGUCACUUCCCUCACCGUGCGCUGUAGACGUUAGACAGGUCACUUCCCUCAAUGUGCACUGUAGACAUUACCUGGGUCACUUCCCUCACCGUGCACUGUAGACGUUAGACAGGUCACUUCCCUCAAUGUGCACUGUAGACGUUAGACAGGUCACUUCCCUCAGCGUGCACUGUAGACGUUACCCAGGGCUCUCAACAGCACAGCCACUACAUAGGUAUUCUGUAGUGACACGUUUUUGAGUUUACAUUGUUUGUUUUACAUUAUUUGCCAACAUAGGGAAAGACGUGUACAAUACAGUGUUACUCAGAAAUGGGAUCUUAGCAGAUGUGCUCAGAUAGUGUUGAAUAGAACUUACCAGUCAUCUUCUGCACAGUUAGAAGAUGAGCUCACACACAACACAGUGCAGUUUCUGGUAACGUUAUAUUUAGUAAAUAUUUAUUGAAUGAGAAGAAACUAGGCAAGCUGAGGAGGAGGGACGAGGUUAUCUGGCAUCUUAACAGGAGUGAGAUGAUGGGGUGAAGGCAGAAAGGAGACAGAUAUAUAUAGUAUGUUCUUUGGACAUAACUGAAA